GAGCCAUUAGCUCAGUUGGUAGAGCAUCUGACUUUUAAUCAGAGGGUCGAAGGUUCC
rnacentral:tRNA from 1 species